CCUCACAAACUCUUUGAAUUUCUUCUCUUUAUUCUUUUCCUUGUCUUUUGCAGCUGAAAUUAAAUACAAGUAUAAGUACUGGCGUUCUAACAUUUUGUUUUCAACGCUAGGAUCUUCAAUUCUUAAGUAAGUAAGCCCGUGCACUAUAAAGAACUAAAAUGAGCAGGAGAACAGAGUUCUGCCUGGGAGGUCACCUUCCAUCCCCCUUAGAGCUCUGCUGCCCCUUCUCUACCACAGAGCCUUUAGACCAGGGGUUAGCAAACUCUGGCCCACCACCUGCUCCUGUAAAAAGUUUUAGCGAAACACACCACGCUCAUUUGUUACGUGUUCACCAUGGCUACUGCCAUGCUUCAAUGACAGAGAUGAGCAGUAAAGACAGAGACCAGGAGUUCUCUUACGGCACAGUGGGUUAAGGAUCUGGUGUUGUCACUGCAGCGGCUCAGGUUGCUGCUGCGGUGCAGGUUCAGUCCCCGGCCUGGGAACUUCCACUUGUUGUUGGCGCAUCCAAAAAAAAAAAGAAGAAGAAGACAGAGACCUUAUGGCCCUCAAAGCUGAAGAGAUUUAUUGUCCGGCCAUUUUCAGAAAAACUUUGCCAACGCUACUUGGAUUCCUACUCCUGAACGCUGGCUGCAUACUGUAAUCACUGAGGGAGAUUUUUUUUUUUUUUCCUUUAUUGGCCACUUCACAGCAUACAGAGUUCCCAGGCCAGGGAUCAGAUCCAAGCCACAGCUGCAACCUAUGCUGCAGCUGCGGCAACACCAAAUCCUUUAACCCACCUGGGCCGGGGAUAGAACCUACACCCUGGCACUGCAGAGAUGCCACCAAUCCUGUUGUGCCACAGCGGGAACUACACCAAGGGAGAUUUUUAGAAAGUGAAUGCCCAGGUCCCGCCCACAAAAAUUCUGAUUUAACUGGCUUGAGGUGUGACUUAAGCAUCAGGAUUUGGGUUUUGUUUUUUUUUUUCUUUUUUAAAUAAAUGAAAUAUAAGUCACAUAAUAUAAAAUUACCCGUUUAAAAAGGAAGAGGAGUUCCCACUGUGGCGCAAUGGGAUUGGUGGCAUCUUGGGAACGCUGAGAUGCUGGUUUGACCCCGGGCCCAGCACAGUGGGUUAAAGAUCCAGCAUUGCCACAGAUGCAGCUUAGGUCACCACUGCAGCUAGGAUCUGAUCCCUGGCCCAUAUGCUGGGGGGUGGCCAAAAAAGAAAAAAAGAAAAAAGAAAAAGGAGCAAUUCACACCUUCCAAAAACUCCAACUUCACAGCAAAACUUCUUUAGUUAUCAAUACUCCCUGUCCAAAUUUCAGUGCAGUUUUCCCAACUCCCUUCUAAAAAGCUUCCUAGCUAUCUUUCUACUGAGACUAUAGUUCUCAAGCUAAUAAUAGCCUCAUCAUUACAAAAUCCAGUUGUUUCUUCUCUCUUAUCAAACAUAUCUGUAGCAUUUCAGCAAUUGGUCAUGCCUUACUUUUUAGAUGUUAAGAUAUGUUUAAGCACACACAUAUCCUGUGACCUAGUCAUUUCCCUCCCAGAUAUUUACUCAAAAGAUAAUUUAUGUACACACAUGAAUGAAUGCCCACAACAGCCUUUUUUUUUUUUUUUUUUUUGCUUUUUAGGGCUGCACCCACAGCAUGGAGGUGUGGGUUUGAUCCUUGGCCCAGCGCAAUGGGUUAAAAAGGAUGUGGCAUUGCCAAAGCUGCAGCAUAGUUAGCAGAUACAGCUCAGAUUCAACCCCUGGCACAGGAACUUCCAUAUGCCACAGAUGCGGCCAUAAAAUAAUAAAAAUUUUUAAAUAAUUUAAAAAAUAAAGAAAUAAAAAAAAGUUAAAAGUACUCAUUUUAAGAUUAAGAAACCAGGGCCUAUAGAAAUAAGCUGACUUAUUCACAGUCAUGUAGUUGAUGAGCAAAACAUGGUUUAAAUUUCUCCUAAAUUCAUUAAAGCAAUCAAGAAUAUUUACUUUUCCUCCGAUCCUAGGAACAGUCUUCCUCUGGAAGAGAAACAGAACAACUCAUUUCUGCAUAUUCUCUUGGCCACAGCCAUAUUAUCAGUGAUGGCUUCAAUUCAUUUACCUAACAAGUAUUUGAGCAUCUACCAUGUUCCAAGUACCAGUCUAAGGAGGAGGGUGGGAUAAGGCACUGAACAAAAAAAGACAAAAAUUCUUGCCCUCACAGAGCCACAUUCUAGUGGGUGGCAGCAGAAAGCAAAUAAAUUACAUAGUAUUUUAGGAGGUGGUUAACGCUAUGAAAAAAAUAAAGCAGGGAAGGGGGGCAGUAAAGAUGAGGGAAGGAAGAUUUGUAAUUUUAAUAGUCUGUAGUCAGAGAAUGCCUCAUCGAGAAAAGGACAUCUGAGCAAAGACCUGAAAGGAGUGAGAGAACAAAACAUGCAGGAAUCUGGAAGAGUCUUCCAGGCAGGACACCCAGGACUUCAGAGUUUAAGAAACAGGCACAGGGAACACUUCCUAACUCAUUCUAUGUUGCCAGCAUUACUGUAACACCAAAAUCAGACAAAGACAUAACAAGAAAGGAAAACUGGAGACCAUUAUCUCUCAUGAACACAAAGGCAAAAAUAUUAGCAAACUGAAUCCAACAAUGUAUAAAAAGAAUUAUAUACAGUGACCAACUAGGAUUUAUUACAGGUAUACAUGGAAGACUGGUUCAACAUCUGGUAAACAAAUAAUGUAAUUUACCAUAUCAACAGGCUGAAAAAAAUAAUAUAUCAACUGAUGCAAAAAAGCACCUGACAAAAUCCAACACUCAUUCAAGAU
rnacentral:lncRNA from 9 species